rnacentral:rRNA from 1 species
AGUGAACGCUGGCGGUAGGCCUAACACAUGCAAGUCGAACGGCAGCACAGUAAGAGCUUGCUCUUACGGGUGGCGAGUGGCGGACGGGUGAGGAAUACAUCGGAAUCUACUUUUUCGUGGGGGAUAACGUAGGGAAACUUACGCUAAUACCGCAUACGACCUACGGGUGAAAGCAGGGGAUCUUCGGACCUUGCGCGAUUGAAUGAGCCGAUGUCGGAUUAGCUAGUUGGCGGGGUAAAGGCCCACCAAGGCGACGAUCCGUAGCUGGUCUGAGAGGAUGAUCAGCAACACUGGAACUGAGACACGGUCCAGACUCCUACGGGAGGCAGCAGUGGGGAAUAUUGGACAAUGGGCGCAAGCCUGAUCCAGCCAUACCGCGUGGGUGAAGAAGGCCUUCGGGUUGUAAGCCCUUUUGUUGGGAAAGAAAAGCAGCAGGUUAAUACCCCGCUGUUCUGACGGUACCCAAAGAAUAAGCACCGGCUAACUUCGUG